GAUGAAUAAAAAUGAUGAAUAAUGUUUUUUUUUUGUUCUUUUCUUCGAUUGAAUUGAUAUGAAUUUGAAGUCGUCUUCCGUCAACAUUAUCGCGAUUCGCUUCCGUCUAGGACGCAACGCAACCGUGGAUAUGUCCAACACGGCAGAGGACGGUGAUGCUCCACCACCACCACCACCAACUCGCACGUUCGGUGAGCCCUGGCCGGAAUUCAACGACGGCUUAAUCUACCGCGACACCCUCAAACCCUCCGACUCUGGUUUGACAGUGAUCGAGUUUUACACCACUAAGCACGUGAAUUCUGCUCCCUUGCAAGGUUGGUUGCAGAGAAUUUGCAAUGGACAGGUAACCAUUGCUGGUAGUGUUGUCACGGAUCCAAACACGAUUCUUGGAGUUGGUUCAGAACUAGUCUAUCACCGACUUCCAUGGAAGGAACCUGAUGCGCCAUACUUGUUGGAAGUGUUGUUUGAAGAUGAUGAUUUGAUUGCCAUAAAUAAGCCUUCUGGUCUGCAAGUUCUACCUGGAGGAUUAUUCCAGCAUCGGACUGUUUUGACACAACUCCAAUGGCGAGCAAGCAAACAGCACUCCUCAUUAGCAUGCCAAGAACUGCAUCCUGCUCCUGUUCAUCGGCUGGGAAGAGGCACAUCAGGUAUAUUACUUUGUGCAAAGACAAAACUCGCCAAAACUUGCCUUUCUGCAUAUUUUUCUGAUGGGACAUCUGUUGUUAGGGACAACAGUAAUACCAAUGUGGCGAUCAGCACAGAGAGGAAAAUUUCAAAGAUUUACCGGGCAUUAGCAUCUGGGAUACUUGAUGAGGAUGAGGUUGUCAUCAAGCAGCCAAUUGGGAUGGUGCAGUAUCCUGGGGUGGCCAAAGGGCUUUAUGUUGCUUCUCCCUCAGGGAAACCGGCUUUGAGCAAGGUUAAGGUUCUUGAGAGAAAUGUACAAGGGAACUGCACAUUGGUUGAGGUUGAGAUUCAAUCAGGACGACCGCACCAAAUUCGCAUUCAUCUUUCUUUUAUUGGGCAUCCUCUGAUGGGCGAUCCUCUUUAUGUUACUGGUGGACAGCCAAAGUGCCUUGAUGCUGAAGUUGGAGAUGAAAGUUUUGCUCAAGACGGAGGGUACCAGAGGCCUGUGAAACCUGUUCCUGGAGACUGUGGGUACCACUUGCAUGCGCAUCAACUGGUUCUGUCUCAUCCAACCAUGAGUGAGGUGAUUAGAAUCGCUGCGCCUCUCCCCUCUGUUCUCCGAACGCAGGAAGAGAGCAAAGAAAUGAAAUUGAGUGGUGGAGAUAAUGGCAAGUAGAUUUCUGAUAUGCUCGUAUUCCCAAGCCCCAUGGAGCUUCGGCACAUGCGCAGGUGAUGAAAAAGCAAAAACAUAAUUCUAGGUACUAUGAAAACUUGCCUACAAUUUUAUUAUGAUAAUGAUAGUGAAUUGCAUAGUAUAGAUUUAAAGUUAAUUUUACGAUGAAAGUGUAUGGUGGAUUAAAGAUUUGAAGUUAACUUUACAAUAGAAGUGUAUUGCGGAUUAUAAGUCAAAUGAAUCUAAUCUUAUCCACAUAUUUGAAAUAAUUUUUCUAGGUAUGUAGUACAAUUGAAAAGCAGUUUAUAAUUAGAUUUGACCCAUGGCAGAAAAAAAUUUCAAAACUUAUUGCACAGAAAUGAAAGGAAAAUAAUCAAUUAUUUUUUUGAAAUUUUAUUAUUUUAUUUCUGAAAACACAAAAUCGAAGAAACAACCACGAUCAAACGAUUAGAUGUUAUGCCAAUAGAAAUAGAAAUAGAAAAACAUGGGGAAAAAACAUGCAGCAAAAAGGCUAUUUUUAAAACAAAUGUGUAGAGAGAUAGGAGGAAAUAAGGGAUUGAAUGCACAUAAACCCAGCUUGCUCACCUCCACCCAAACCUUUGACAGAUUAUUCCUGUAUUAUCCACCAAAUACAACAAAUACAAAGCUGAACUAAACUAUUGCAACCAUCUAAAAUUC